rnacentral:lncRNA from 1 species
GCUACUACUAACAAGCCUUCCUAAAACUCAACCUAGUACUUCAUAACUUUGUAGUGUUGUUGCAUCAAGCACAGCUACUGCACUUGCAUAUGAGAAUCCUUUAGGUACUACACAGUACAUCAUAUACCCAAGACUUUUGUAUGACUCUUAGACUUUGGAGUUGUUAGCAUAGACACGUCAAUUUGUUUUAUGCUCACUUGUGACGUACAUAGUAUUGUGGUAUUCAUGACAUACUUCAUGUUCACUUAUUGACCCACUACAUGCUUAUCCUUCACCUAAGCACUUCUAGAGGUCAUCAUGAGCUAUAAGUAAAAUUUACGAUAUUACACUUUAUAUGAAUGUAGCUAGUUCUUCAAAGAAAGAAACAAAGAAAUAAAAGUACUACUACUACACAUCUUUCACGUGUAAAAAAUAAAUAAAACAAGACAAACAUCUAGCUCCUAAUAACUUAAAGCCUAGCAAGUAGCAACUCCUCCUACCAUACUCCCAUAACAGUUCGACAAC